GCGGCGGGCGGCGGGCGGCGGGCGGGGGUCCCCGGGGCGGGGGCGGGGGCGGGGGGGGCGGGCUCCCGGGGCCCCGGGGGGCGAGGCGCGGCGCGGCGCCCCCUUUACCUGCGGCUCCGGCUCCUCGGCCAUUUCCUCGCUCGGCGGCGGCCGGGACUGAACUGACACCACACGAGCGAGCCGAGCUAGACUAUCUCUAAAGGAGUCAGGUGCUGCAGAGACGCUGGCAACAAACAAAGGAUAGAACCAGAAAUGUCCCUUCGAAUGGAAGCUGAUGCUCUGCACAUGUUAACCAGAGAAAGGGCGGAAAGAAGCCCCACUUCGCCUCCCCUUAAUGCGACAAACAUCAGCUACACCUCGUUUUUCACAAUUAUCCAAACAGACCAGCCCUCCUUAAGAUCUAUUUCCCAGGAUGCUGCCUGCCACACACAGCCUUCUCAGAUCUCAUAACAAAACAAAACAAAACAAAAAGCCCUCCUAAUUUGCUACAUUUAACAUUUAUUGGGAUCAUCUUUGGAGACUUAGCCUUCAUUAGAAGAACAAUGCGAUAUGAUCCUCCUAUUUCACAAGUUAUUUUAUGUUACUGUGGAACUCUUACAAGAAAGACAGUUUGGAAACUGCACGUAAAUCCCUGGAGCUGAAAUGGAGCCAACAUAGAUACUCGACUUAAAAAGAAUUCAGUGUUCAGGGCAGGAAAACCCGAAAACUGCAAGUGAGGAGUCAGCAGGAAAAGAAAAUGAAAAAGUUAGGCAAACCUGCCAGCUCUUGCUAACUACAAAGGACAUUUGAGAAGGAAACGGGGACAGCCCUUUUAACACGACUGAAUGCAUUAAAUUAAGUGGGGAUCACCAACAAGUCCAGGGAAUGCUACACUCCUCUCUUCUCUAUCAGGUUUCUUGAUCCCACUCCGAGUCAUCUCGAAAUUUGAAGCCCUCCAUAAAACAUCAUCGUGUAAUAUAUGAUAAAAAUAAAUUGCAGAAGUCACCUUUCA
rnacentral:lncRNA from 1 species